rnacentral:rRNA from 1 species
UACGUAGGGUGCGAGCGUUAAUCGGAAUUACUGGGCGUAAAGCGUGCGCAGGCGGUUUGUUAAGACAGGUGUGAAAUCCCCGAGCUCAACUUGGGAAUGGCGCUUGUUACUGGCAAGCUAGAGUGUGUCAGAGGGAGGUAGAAUUCCACGUGUAGCAGUGAAAUGCGUAGAUAUCUGGAGGAAUACCGGUGGCGAAGGCGGCAUCCUGGACCGGCAUUGACGCUGAGGAGCGAAAGCCAGGGGAGCAAACGGG